GUCUGUCCACCACAGGGAUCAGCAAAUUUUUGUAAAAGUCUGGAGAGGACACAUUUAAGGCUAACAGGUCAGAUAGUUUCUGUCAGAAGUAUUCAUCUCUGCCCUCGUAGCAUGAAAUCAACCAUAGACAGGACUUAAACAAAUGAAUGUGUUCUAAUGGAACUUUAUGGACACUGAAAUGUUUAUCAUCUUUCUCUCAUUUACUGCUGCAUCACCAAUACUUGCAGUCGAACCUGACACGUGGGCAACUCCAUAAAUAUCUCUUGCAAGAACCAAAAAAGGCUUCCCUUCCUUUAUAAGGAAUAAUUGCAACCCAGAUGUCCUUCAGUGGUUAAACAAACCAAGGUACCGCCACAUCAUCAAUCCUACUCAGCAAAGAAAAGGUACAAACUAUUGACGCACGCAACAACUUGCACGGGACCUCAAGGAGAUCAUGCUGAGUGCAAAAGCCAAUUUCAAAGGGUCACAUACUGUUUGAUUCCACUUAUGUAACAUUCUUGAACUAUCAAAACAAUGGUGAUAGAGAAGAGAUCAGUGUUUGCCAGGGGUGGGGGCCUGGACUCCAGGGAGAGGAUGAGAAUCCAUGUGGGGCUGGCAUGAGGGGGCCCUCUGGUGAUGGAACAACAGAUCUGAAUCUUGAUGGCAGAGGUGGUGACACCCAAGCUACGUGUGUGAUCACUGCACAGAGCUACGUACACACAGACACAAAUGAGUGCUUGUCACACCGGUGAGAUUGGAGCAAACUCUGUGGAUUAUGCCAAUGUCGGCGGCCUGGUUUGAGAUUGUAUGGUUAUUUUAAGUCAUUCACCCCCAGGGGAGGCUGGGUGAAGGGUGCAUAGACCUCCCUAUACAUUGUUUUUGCGUGAAUCUAUAAUCGUUUCAAAAUAAGAAGUUAAGAAAAUGUUCUGCACAAACAACGACAAAAGAGAGCCUCUACCCCAUAUCAUCUUCAUGGAUCCAGAAGAAGGAAGUUUCAAAAAAAAGGCAGAAUCAUGUGCUCCCAAGCUGGGUUUGAAUCAUAGAACCACAUAAUUAAGCAACCUCCAAAUGAAGAGAGCUUCUAAAAAAGUUGGGAGAAGAGCUGUUCGGAAUGAGUAAAUAAAUUGCCAACAAUAAGAAUAACUAUGGUAAAACACAACACAAACAAUGCAAAAUAAGAAGUUGAUCUUUUCUCCUUUGAUACAUUAUACUGGUGACAGAAACAGAAUAUGGAAAUAGAUCUGAUGUCGAACCUGAUAAGGAAGAUCCUAACCAGCCCCUUUCUCCUAAUAUUAAGUGAAAAGGUGGUUUUUCAAAAGAGAAUUCUUUCAAUUGAAACAAUU